UAAAUACUCCCUCCGUCCGAAAAUACUUGUCAUUAAAAUGGAUAAAAAGAGAUGUAUCUAAAACUAAAAUAUGUCUAGAUACAUUUCCUUUUAUCCAUUUUGAUGACAAGUAUUUCCGGACGGAGGGAGUAUUUG
rnacentral:pre_miRNA from 1 species